GCCGCGGGCCUCCGCGCUUCCGCGGCCACGGCGGAGGGGGAGGCGCCCGAGGGCUCCGGUCCCGCGACGGCCUGUCGGGAGCAGAACCUAGGGGCUGCGGGCCUACCCAGAGGGACAGGAUGACCAAGCCAGUGCCGAGGUCAGGGUGACACAAGUGGGUAAAACCCACCAGGACUUCACCUUUUGGGGCGUCUGUAUCCUCAUCUACAAAAAUGGUACUGGCAGACACCCUAUGCAAUUGUUGGGACUCAUUCAAUGUCAAGUGCUUACAACGGGGGCUGGCGCAGAGGAAGCCCACAGGUCCGUGCGGCCGAAUCCCAGGCAUCCCGACGCCCGCCCUCUCUGGCACUAAGCGCAGCCCUUUCCCCUCCCCUCCGUGACUCUGGCCCUCCCUUCAACCCGUUCUCCACACAGCAGCCGGGGGGAGCUUUUAAGAUGCGAAAGAGGAGGUGUCACUUCGGUCUCCAGUGACUCCUUGGCCCCUGAAUAAAGCUUAAGACUGAACGCCCCACUCCAGGAGCACCACUCUGACCCUCACCUCAGGACCGCAGCCACACUGCUUUCUCUCCGGUCCUCUAUCCCGCUCCCUCCUGCCCAAGGCCUUUGCCCAUCGUGUCCUCUGCUUGAUCUCCUCUUUCAGACCCUGAGAGCACCAUGAAAGGAGGUAACACCCGUGUCCCCAGAACUGUUAAAUACCUGACACAGAACCAGCCCACUGUAUUUGUUACAUGUUUACUAAUGUCCAGAAACGUCUGGAAGGAAGACAGCAAACUGAGCAGAGUGGCCUCUGGGGCUGGGGAAAGGAGAGGCCACUCAUUACUCUGCACUUCGGGCAGCACUGAAUAGCAUUCUUGGCUUUCUACAACAAAAACCUUUACUGGAUCUGCUUUUGAGUUAGGACCAAAACAGCGAGGAAGCUGACCUUUCUUCGAGUUAUGAGGCUCAAAUCAAAUCGGGCACGGACAGGGAGAAGGGAAGUGGAGAAUGGGCAUUUCCCCAGCAACCUUGGCCUCUCCCGCCCCGAAAUGUUCCCAACAGAGUCCCAAAACCCGGCCCAAACGUCAUCAAAAUAUUUAUUAAAACCAAAGCAGGAGGGAACAGAGCUGUUAGGAAGCAAAUCAAAG
rnacentral:lncRNA from 10 species